rnacentral:rRNA from 1 species
GAUGAACGCUGGCGGCGUGCUUAACACAUGCAAGUCGAACGAAGCACCUCUCCCGAAGCUUGACACAGCUUGCUGUAGAUUGUUUCAUUUGAGGUGACUGAGUGGCGGACGGGUGAGUAACGCGUGGGUAACCUGCCUCAUAGAGGGGGACAACAGUUGGAAACGACUGCUAAUACCGCAUAGUAAGAAGAAUUCGCAUGUUUUCUUCUUGAAAGAUUUAUCGCUAUGAGAUGGACCCGCGUCUGAUUAGCUAGUUGGUAAGGUAACGGCUUACCAAGGCGACGAUCAGUAGCCGGCUUGAGAGAGUGAACGGCCACAUUGGGACUGAGACACGGCCCAAACUCCUACGGGAGGCAGCAGUGGGGAAUAUUGCACAAUGGGGGAAACCCUGAUGCAGCGACGCCGCGUGAGUGAAGAAGUAUUUCGGUAUGUAAAGCUCUAUCAGCAGGGAAGAUAAUGACGGUACCUGACUAAGAAGCCCCGGCUAACUACGUG